UGUGACAUACCUACUGUUGCUUCGGCGGGAUUGCCCCGGGCGCCUCGUGUGCCCCGGAUCAGGCGCCCGCCUAGGAAACUUAAUUCUUGUUUUAUUUUGGAAUCUUCUGAGUAGUUUUUACAAAUAAAUAAAAACUUUCAACAACGGAUCUCUUGGUUCUGGCAUCGAUGAAGAACGCAGCGAAAUGCGAUAAGUAAUGUGAAUUGCAGAAUUCAGUGAAUCAUCGAAUCUUUGAACGCACAUUGCGCCCGCCAGUAUUCUGGCGGGCAUGCCUGUCUGAGCGUCAUUUCAACCCUCAUGCCCCUAGGGCGUGGUGUUGGGGAUCGGCCAAAGCCCGCGAGGGACGGCCGGCCCCUAAAUCUAGUGGCGGACCCGUCGUGGCCUCCUCUGCGAAGUAGUGAUAUUCCGCAUCGGAGAGCGACGAGCCCCUGCCGUUAAACCCCCAACUUUCCAAGGUUGACCUCAGAUCAGGUAGGAAUACCCGCUGAACUUAAGCAUAUCAAU
rnacentral:rRNA from 1 species